rnacentral:rRNA from 1 species
UACGGAGGGUGCAAACGUUGCUCGGAAUUAUUGGGCGUAAAGCGCACGUAGGCGGACCAUCAAGUCGGAUGUGAAAUACCUCGGCUUAACCGAGGACGUGCAUUCGAAACUGAUGGCCUUGAGUACGAAAGAGGAUCGCGGAAUUCCCGGUGUAGAGGUGAAAUUCGUAGAUAUCGGGAGGAACACCAGUGGCGAAGGCGGCGAUCUGGGUCGAUACUGACGCUGAGGUGCGAAAGCGUGGGGAGCAAACAGG